rnacentral:rRNA from 1 species
UACGUAGGGCGCAAGCGUUGUCCGGAAUUAUUGGGCGUAAAGAGCUCGUAGGCGGCUUGUCACGUCGGUUGUGAAAGCCCGGGGCUUAACCCCGGGUCUGCAGUCGAUACGGGCAGGCUAGAGUGUGGUAGGGGAGAUCGGAAUUCCUGGUGUAGCGGUGAAAUGCGCAGAUAUCAGGAGGAACACCGGUGGCGAAGGCAAUCCCCUGGGCCUGCACUGACGCUCAUGCACGAAAGCGUGGGGAGCAAACAGG